UCAAUGCAUGCGGUGUCAACAAUACGGACACACUAAAAAUUAUUGCAACAGAAGCCCAGCUUGUGUCAAGUGCGCAAAAAACCACUUAACUAUACACUGCCCAUAUUCUGGAAAAAUAGAAGAAAUUCCUGAUAUAUGUAAAGAAAAAAUUGCGAUAUCAACUGAAGGUGAUGAAUGAAAUAAAUAAGAAGAUAAAGGAGGAUAAACAGUUCAUCCUGUACCUACAUUAGGUGUAAAUAUAUUUCUUAAUAAUAACAUGAAUAAUGAUGGAGGUAGAAGUCAAAAUCUAAUGUUAUUUAUUCGAGGAAAAGCUAUAUCUGGGGAUCCUAAUAUUAAUGGAAUUAGAUAAUUUCCAAAUCCACCAAUUAUAAAAGGUAUUACUAUAAAAAAAAUUAUUAAAAAUGCAUGUCUUGUUACUAAAGAAUUAUAAAUUUGAUCAUUAUUAAUUCAUAUACCUGGAUGUCUUAAUUCUAUUCGAAUUAAUAAUCUUAUAGAUGAACCAAUUAUUCCUGAUCAUAUAGCAAAAAUAAAGUAUAAUAUUCCAAUAUUUUUAUGAUUAGUUGAUAUUAAUCAUUUUUUAAUUAAGAUUUAUAAAUUAUUAUUUUAUAUUUUUAAUUUUGAAGAUUAAUAGUUUUUAAAUUAACUUAAAAUCUUUAAAAUUUUAAACAUAAGUAUUAUGUCUGAAAAAGAAAUAAAUUGUAAAUUUAUUAAUGAAAAUUAAAAUUUUUCUAAUACUAAUUUGUAUUUAAAUUUAUUAUAAUUAUAUAUAUAUAUAUAUAUAUAUAUAUAUAUAUAUAUAUAUAUAUA
rnacentral:misc_RNA from 1 species